AGGAUUAUUGUGAUAGGAAUAGGAUGGGUUAUGGUUAGGAUAUAUUAGGGUGGUAGGGUUAGUUUGAUAGGGCUAGGAUGGGUUAUGGUUAGGAUAUAUUAGGGUGGUAGGGUUAGUGUGGUAGGGCUAGGAUGGGUUAUGGUUAUGGUGGUAGUGUGGUGGUAGGAUUAUUGUGAUAGGAAUAGGAUGGGUUAUGGUUAGGAUGGAUUAGGGUGGCAGGGUUAGUGUGGUAGGGCUAGGAUGGGUUAUGAUUAGGGUGGUAAUGUGGUGGUAGGGUUAGUGUGAUUGGAAUAGGAUGGGUUAUGGUUAGGAUAUAUUAG